AUGUACUACGUGCAAUACUUAACAAAAGGUAUACAUGCAAUAUCGAUCGAUCAUUCUUUUUCAUUCGUGGAACUGAUUGGCGGCGGCGACGCUGUGGCUGCACAUUCGGAUCUGGGUGACUUCCUCGAACAAUUCGAUCUGAACGAUGAUGACUUUGCUGAUGUGGAGAUCGAUGAGGAUGAUCCUGCAAUUCAAGAAAGUGUCCGCUGGCUUGCCCUAGCCAGGGUCCAUACAAGCAGGAACUUCAGCCCGUCUGCUUUCUACAAGGAUAUGAGGGCUGCAUGGAACCCCGUGCAGAACGUGAGAUUUCGGCCGGUUGGCCCUAAUCGCUUUGUCGUCCAAGCAUCUUGCUUGGGGGAUUGGGAACUCAUAAUGAUGCAAGGACCUUGGCUGUUCCGCAAUAUGGUUGUGCUCUUGUGCACGUAUGACGGCUUCAGUCAGGCCAAGGAGGUGGAAAUCUUUCAUAUUCCAAUUUGGCUCCAGAUUCACAAGCUACCAGACCCAUACUGCAAGCAAAAUAUUGUGGAGAAGCUGUUGAAAGAUGCAGGAGAGAUUAUGGAGAUGCGUUUGAACGGAAACACCCGAGGUGAUUAUGUUAGGGUUAGGGUGAAAAAUGAUAUCCGAAAGCCCCUUACAAAGUACGUCAGUAUUGUUCGGGAUAAGGAGCGCCAGGUAUACCUGGUUCAAUAUGAGAAACUUGCUAGGUUUUGUAAGUUUUGUGGCCUUAUUGGUCAUGAACACAAAGAGUGUGUCCUGGGUAUCCAUGAUGAGAAGACCUUCAAGUUUGGGGACUGGAUCUACGCAGAUGCUCCCAAUAAGCCUCGGCCAGAAGGACGACCCACUAAGGCGACAGGCAAUGAGUGUAAGCAGGCCGAUACCCGGAAGGAUGGUAGAUCUGAUCCGGAACAUGCUCCACAUGAUCCCGAGGUCAUGAUACGGCUUCGAGUCCGAUCAAGAAAUCUGGUGAAACAUUAG
rnacentral:rRNA from 1 species